rnacentral:rRNA from 1 species
CUACGUGCCAGCAGCCGCGGUAAUACGGAGGAUGCGAGCGUUAUCCGGAUUUAUUGGGUUUAAAGGGUGCGUAGGCGGCCUGUUAAGUCAGCGGUGAAAUCUAGGAGCUUAACUCCUAAAUUGCCAUUGAUACUGGCGGGCUUGAGUGUAGAUGAGGUAGGCGGAAUGCGUGGUGUAGCGGUGGAAUGCAUAGAUAUCACGCAGAACUCCGAUUGCGAAGGCAGCUUACUAAGGUACAACUGACGCUGAAGCACGAAAGCGUGGGUAUCAAACAGGAUUAGAUACCCUGGUAGUCCACGCCGUAAACGAUGAGUGCUAGGUGUUAGACCCUUUCCGGGGUUUAGUGCCGUAGCUAACGCAUUAAGCACUCCGCCUGGGGAGUACGACCGCAAGGUUGAAACUCAAAGGAAUUGACGGGGGCCCGCACAAGCGGUGGAGCAUGUGGUUUAAUUCGAAGCAACGCGAAGAACCUUACCAGGUCUUGACAUCCCUCUGAUCGCUCUAGAGAUAGAGUUUUC